GACGAACGCUGGCGGCGUGCUUAACACAUGCAAGUCGAACGGAUUGCUUGGUGCUUGCACUGAGUGGUUAGUGGCGAACGGGUGAGUAACACGUGAGUAACCUGCCCCCUUCUUUGGGAUAAGCACCUGAAAGGGUGUCUAAUACUGAUUAUUCUGCUGGAAUCGCAUGGUUUUGGUUGGAAAGGUUUUUCUGGUGGGGGAUGGGCUCGCGGCUUAUCAGCUUGUUGGUGGGGUAAUGGCUUACCAAGGCUUUGACGAGUAACCGGCCUGAGAGGGUGACCGGUCACAUUGGGACUGAGAUACGGCCCAGACUCCUACGGGAGGCAGCAGUGGGGAAUAUUGCACAAUGGACGAAAGUCUGAUGCAGCGUCGCCGCGUGAGGGAUGAAGGCCUUCGGGUUGUAAACCUUUUUCGCUUUUGACCAAGGCAGCAUUUUGGUGUUGUUGAGGGUAUGAGGUAAAGAAGCUCCGGCUAACUACGUGCCAGCCGCCGCCGUAAGAC
rnacentral:rRNA from 1 species